GGCUUUGUGCAGUGGCAGUAUCGCAGCCAAUGAGGUUUAUCUGAGGCGUGAUGACUGCUAUUACAAACUGCUAGAAAGGCUUUUGUGCCCAAACUCUAGACUACAGCCUCCUUAAAUAUUACUUGUCAAGGACAAAUACAGAUCUUAUAAGUCUUCAUAAAUAUGA
rnacentral:snRNA from 1 species